AAAAAUACAACUAGCAAAGUACUAUUAAAUUUUUUUUUUUUUUUUGAGAGAAAGAUAGCACGCUAUCCGUUUUAUUUAUUUAGCAAAUGAAUUUAGCUAUAGAGAUUGAGACAACUCGGCAUCGGAAAAUAUUAAAGACAACCAAAACAAAAAAACCAAAUAAAAACUAAAAUUAAAAAACUAUAGAAAAUUGACACUUGUACUCCUCACUUAAAACCAAGACACUAAUAAGAGUUGCAAAACUCAGUCCAAUCCCUCCCAUAUUCAUCUAAUAGUCAAAAGAGGGUCAAAUGAUUGACUCCUAAAAAUAAUAUUAUUUCUUUUUCGCCAUAUCAUUCACCAACAGAUUACGACCCUGUUUAAAUCUCUCGCAGUUGCUCCUUGGUGGUGGUCCCAACCAGAAGCUCCCAAACACUCCUCACCUCCAUCCCAGGCCUAAGGACGUCCCUAUCUUCUAGGAUGUUGUACAUAAAAAAUCUAUUGAUUACGCAUCCAAUCAGCAAAUGAUUAACAGUCUCUAAAUCGUUGCCGCACGUCACACACUGUUGAUUCUUAGACCAACAUCUUUUUAAAUAUUUGAAUAAUU
rnacentral:lncRNA from 1 species